AUUGAACGCUGGCGGCAUGCUUUACACAUGCAAGUCGAACGGUAACAGGCCGCAAGGUGCUGACGAGUGGCGAACGGGUGAGUAAUGCAUCGGAACGUGCCCAGUCGUGGGGGAUAACUACUCGAAAGAGUAGCUAAUACCGCAUACGAUCUAUGGAUGAAAGCGGGGGACCGUAAGGCCUCGCGCGAUUGGAGCGGCCGAUGUCAGAUUAGGUAGUUGGUGGGGUAAAGGCUCACCAAGCCAACGAUCUGUAGCUGGUCUGAGAGGACGACCAGCCACACUGGGACUGAGACACGGCCCAGACUCCUACGGGAGGCAGCAGUGGGGAAUUUUGAACAAAGGGCGCAAGCCUGAUCCAGCAAUGCCGCGUGCAGGAAGAAGGCCUUCGGGUUGUAAACUGCUUUUGUACGGAACGAAACGGCUCUGGUUAAUACCCGGGGCUAAUGACGGUACCGGAAGAAUAAGCACCGGCUAACUACGUG
rnacentral:rRNA from 1 species